GCUGGCGGCGUGCUUAUACAUGCAGUCGAACGAGAAACCGGGCUUCGGCCCGGGAGUAAAGUGGCGAACGGGUGAGUAACACGUGGAUAAUCUACCUUUAAGUCUGGGAUAAUCCUUCGAAAGGGGGUCUAAUACCGGAUGAUAUCUUUUGACGGCAUCGUCGAAAGAUCAAAGGCGGGGCAACCUGUCGCUUAGAGAUGAGUCCGCGCUCCAUUAGCUUGUUGGUGAGGUAAAAGCUCACCAAGGCGACGAUGGAUAGCCGGCCUGAGAGGGUGAACGGCCACACUGGGACUGAGAUACGGCCCAGACUCCUACGGGAGGCAGCAGUAGGGAAUAUUGCGCAAUGGACGAAAGUCUGACGCAGCAACGCCGCGUGGGUGAUGAAGCUCCUUGGAGUGUAAAACCCUGUUAGAGGGGAAGAAACGUGAGGGUAGUAACUGACCUUCACCUGACGGUACCCUCAGAGAAAGCACCGGCUAACUCCGUGCCAGCAGCCGCGGUAAUACGGGGGGUGCAAGCGUUGUUCGGAUUUACUGGGCGUAAAGGGCGCGUAGGCGGACCUUCAAGUCAGAUGUGAAAUCUGUCGGCUUAACCGGCAGUCUGCAUUUGAAACUGUCGGUCUUGAGUACAGGAGAGGAAAGCGGAAUUCCAGGUGUAGCGGUGAAAUGCGUAGAUAUCUGGAAG
rnacentral:rRNA from 1 species